rnacentral:rRNA from 1 species
AACGAACGCUGGCGGCAGGCUUAACACAUGCAAGUCGAGCGCCCCGCUAGGGGAGUCGCCGACGGGUGAGUAACGCGUGGGAAUCUACCCAUCUCUUCGGACUAACGCAUGCAAGCGAGUGCUAAUACCGUAUACGUCCUCCCGGAGAAAGAUUUAUCUGAGAUGGAUGGAUCGGCGUUGGAUUAGUUAGCUGGUGGGGUAAAGGCCUACCAAGGCGACGAUCCAUAGCUGGUCUGAGAGGAUGAUCAGCCACACUGGGACUGAGUCACGGUCCAGAAGCCUACGGGAGGCAGCUGUGGUGAAUAUUGGACAAUGGGCGCAAGCCUGAUCCAGCCAUGCCGCGUGAGUGAUGAAGGCCCUAGGGUUGUAAAGCUCUUUUACCGGUGAAGAUAAUGACGGUAACCGGGGAAGAAGCCCCGGCUAACUUCGUGCCAGCCGCCGCCGUAAGAC